GGCAACUUGUCCGAGUGGUUAAGGAGCUUCCCUGCUAAGGAAGUGGGCUCUGCCCGCGUGUGUUCGAACCACACAGUUGUCG
rnacentral:tRNA from 1 species